rnacentral:rRNA from 1 species
CCCUUAGAUGUUCUGGGCCGCACGCGCGCUACACUGACGAAGUCAGCGAGCAUGUCCUACGCCGACAGGUGCGGGGAAUCUUGUCAAACUUCGUCGUGAUGGGGAUUGAUUAUUGAAAUUCUUGAUCAUCAACGAGGAAUUCCUAGUAAGCGCAAGUCAGCAGCUUGCGUUGAUUACGUCCCUGCCCUUUGUACACACCGCCCGUCGCUACUACCGAUUGAACGGUUUAGUGAGGGCCUCGGAUUGGUCUCGGCCCGCUCUUUACCGGGCGGCGCCGUUGGUUGAGAAGACGCUCGAACUUGAUCGUUUAGAGGAAGUAAAAGUCGUAACA